UAAAUCUUAUUUAAAUAUAGAUCGUAAAUUCUUUUCUGUAAAAAGAAAAAUCCCAUCAUGAGGUAC
rnacentral:tRNA from 3 species